GAUCAUGGCUCAGGAUGAACGCUAGCUACAGGCUUAACACAUGCAAGUCGAGGGGAAACGAUAGAGAAAGCUUGCUUUUUCUAGGCGUCGACCGGCGCACGGGUGAGUAACGCGUAUCCAACCUGCCCACCACUUGGGGAUAACCUUGCGAAAGUAAGACUAAUACCCAAUGACGUCUCUAGAAGACAUCUGAAAGAGAUUAAAGAUUUAUCGGUGAUGGAUGGGGAUGCGUCUGAUUAGCUUGUUGGCGGGGUAACGGCCCACCAAGGCGACGAUCAGUAGGGGUUCUGAGAGGAAGGUCCCCCACAUUGGAACUGAGACACGGUCCAAACUCCUACGGGAGGCAGCAGUGAGGAAUAUUGGUCAAUGGACGAGAGUCUGAACCAGCCAAGUAGCGUGAAGGAUGAAGGUUCUAUGGAUUGUAAACUUCUUUUAUACGGGAAUAAACGGAUCCACGUGUGGAUUUUUGCAUGUACCGUAUGAAUAAGGAUCGGCUAACUCCGUG
rnacentral:rRNA from 1 species